UGUCUAAGUAUAAGCAACUAUACUGUGAAACUGCGAAUGGCUCAUUAAAUCAGUUAUCGUUUAUUUGAUAGUACCUUACUACUUGGAUAACCGUGGUAAUUCUAGAGCUAAUACAUGCUAAAAACCCCGACUUCGGGAGGGGUGUAUUUAUUAGAUAAAAAACCAAUGCCCUUCGGGGCUCUUUGGUGAGUCAUGAUAACUUAACGAAUCGCAUGGCCUUGCGCCGGCGAUGGUUCAUUCAAAUUUCUGCCCUAUUAACUUUCGAUGGUAGGAUAGAGGCCUACCAUGGUAUCAAUGGGUAACGGGGAAAUUAGGGUUCUAUUCCGGAGAGGGAGCCUGAGAAACGGCUACCACAUCCAAGGAAGGCAGCAGGCGCGCAAAUUACCCAAUCCCGACACGGGGAGGUAGUGACAAUAAAUACUGAUACAGGGCUCUUUUGGGUCUUGUAAUUGGAAUGAGUACAAUUUAAAUACCUUAACGAGGAACAAUUGGAGGGCAAGUCUGGUGCCAGCAGCCGCGGUAAUUCCAGCUCCAAUAGCGUAUAUUAAAGUUGUUGCAGUUAAAAAGCUCGUAGUUGAACCUUGGGCCUGGCUGGCCGUUCCGCCUCACCGCGUGUACUGGUCCGGCCGGGCCUUUCCUUCUGGGGAUCCGCAUGGCCUUCACUGGCUGUGUCGGGGAACCAGGACUUUUACUUUGAAAAAAUUAGAGUGUUCAAAGCAGGCCUUUGCUCGAAUACAUUAGCAUGGAAUAAUAGAAUAGGACGUGCGGUCCUAUUUUGUUGGUUUCUAGGACCGCCGUAAUGAUUAAUAGGGAUAGUCGGGGGCAUCAGUAUUCAAUUGUCAGAGGUGAAAUUCUUGGAUUUAUUGAAGACUAACUACUGCGAAAGCAUUUGCCAAGGAUGUUUUCAUUAAUCAGUGAACGAAAGUUAGGGGAUCGAAGACGAUCAGAUACCGUCGUAGUCUUAACCGUAAACUAUGCCGACUAGGGAUCGGGCGAUGUUAUUCUUUUGACUCGCUCGGCACCUUACGAGAAAUCAAAUCUUUGGUUCUGGGGGAGUAUGUCGCAAGGUGAA
rnacentral:rRNA from 1 species